GUAAAACAAAUCUUUGAUACCUCUCUCUUCUUCUUCCACGCAGCUUACACCAAACUCUAACCUGCUAAACUUUCUCCAGCUCAGAUCUUCUCUUUCGUUCGCAACUAAGGUAACAAUAGAAGUGUAAGUAGUUGUCUGUUUUGUUGAUCUGUACAUACUAAAACCUUAUAAACUUCACCCACACUAUUCUCCAUACAAGUUUAUGUUACUAUUUAAAACACACAGUUUAGGGAGGUGUUUGGGAUUGCUAUUUUAGUGACUUAAUAGCUUAUUGACUUUUUGAAAAGUUAAAAAGUGUUUGGGUGAAACUAUUUUGUAAGGGGAAAAGUCGAUAUGUCAAUCCAUUGUGACUAAUUAACUUUUCCAAAAAGUUAUAAUUUGUUUUGAAAAGCUAAGCCAAACAUGGCCUAAGUAAACUUAAAACAAGUAUUUGAGGGAAACUUAAAACAUGUUCUACAAAAUAUAAUUUGUUACUAAUUUUUUUAAUGUGCUACACGUAUAUAAUAUAUAUUUGAAAUAAAAUAAAAUCUGGUUUAAGUGGAUCUAAAAAAAAUUACUAAUUUAAUUUCUUCUUAACAACGAUUUAUUCCACCUUCAAAGAUUCAAACUGAAAUCUCUUCUGUAAAGGGCUAAAGUCAAACACCAUACCAUAACCAUAGACCACCAAGUUAUGGGUUAUGGAUUACGUAAUCUGAAAAAGACAUUAUAAACAAAAUAGAAAAUUUAUGUUAAAAAAUUAGAGUAUACUGUCAAAAUCGUCCAUGAGGUUUGGGCAUGUUUGCCGGUUUCAUCCAAAACAACUUUUUUGUACAUUUGGAUGAAAAUGACAAAAAAUCCCAAAUCUCAGAGAGUAUUUUGCAAAAAAUGUUAGACGUUUAGAUGAAAAUGGCAAAAAAAAUCCCAAAAGUAAAGGACAAUAUGGUACCAAAAAGUUGUUUUGAAUAAAACUGACAAACAUACCCAAACUUAAGGGACGAUUUUGACAAUUUACUCUAAAAAAUAACUUACACUCUUAAAAUAACUUAUAAAAUCCGGAAAAAAUAUAAAAAUUCAUGUUUUAAGAAAGUUUUUGAAAUUAGAGUCGGCCCAAGAAUCAAGCAACCCAAUCACCUGCUUUGGGCGUCUCAUUUUUAUAGGCCCAUACCAUGAAAAAAAUAAUAUUAGGCACGAUUUCUAUUAUUUCCCUGAAAAUAGGACUGAUAAAAUCUCAAAGGGUCCAAAAUGCAAAUGGUUUUGAGUUUUUAACUGCUUAUGAACCACGCAUGUUGUAUAUGUAAUGAAUUAUACAUUUGCUGGUAUUAAUGAAUGACCUCUAAUCUCUCUCUUCCUCUCAUUUUUUUACCUUCUAUAACACACACGACUUCUAACUAAGUUUUGUUUGAACUCUUUUUUAUAUUGAUUAUUUGAAAGUUGGCAUGGCAUCGUGGCAAUCAUAUUUCUUGUGUCUUGAACAAGAUUAAUCGAACAAUUGUUGACCUAAUUUAGGCCUUUGUUGAAUGUCUAUUCAAGCCUAAAUUAAAUGGUUGUUUUAGUCUUUUUUGAGCGGUUUGGGUUUGGUUGAACGCAUGCUACAUCUACUCACCCUAAGUUAUUGUAUUUGAUUAAACUCCAGGUACAUACUGCUGGGCAUAUGCUACAUGACUAACAUGGAGGUCAUAUCAGAACACGAAAUUAUCGACUAUGACUGGACGUUUAACUUUUAGCAAGUUGUAUAACAUAAGUCUACUAUCUUAUCAUGAAGAACGACGAUGUGGACACAUAUGCAAAUUAUUUAUACAAUAACGACAACAACUAUACCCAGUAAAUCCCACAAAUAGCAAAGCUACUUAUAGGGUCUGGGGAGGGUGAGAUAUAGACAGACCUUGCCUCCAUCCCUAGGGAUAGAGAGGCUGCUUCCAGAGAGACCCCGGCUCCAAAACAAAUAACAUACAAACACACCAAGCAGGGCCGGCUCAAAAAUUUUUAAUUUUUUCUAGGCCCAAAGCGAAUAGCAAAAUUGGGGCCCUUUUUGUAAACAAAAAAAAUUGCUAUGAAUCUAUUAUUC
rnacentral:lncRNA from 1 species